AUGCGAGACAACAAAACCUCAAGCGUCGUCGAAGGGCACCAAACUCCGAGUCGUCACCGCCGCCACGAGCCCCCAAGAGAGAGGUCGACCAACAGCCCCAAGAUGACCAAGGCAAAGGCUGCAGCCACAUAUCACUUCCACCGCCGCCACCAAGCAGACCAACAGACCAACAACGCUCCAACCGAGACACCAAGCAACCCACGACGGAUCCAUGGCUCCAAGACUAUGCCCCCAAGGGGGAAACGACAUCAAAGAUGGCGUCAUCAUCCAAUCCAAGGAAGGAUUUUAGGCUUUCACCCGGAGCACAUCAAGAACAGGCUAUGA
rnacentral:rRNA from 1 species